GCUGAGUCGUUCCAAUUUUCUUUUAUUUUUCGUAUUAGUCCCUAGCGUCACAACCGACUAUGCAAAUAUUAUUAAAGAACAAAGUAAAAUUGCAAUGAAACCUCAGCAAAAUAAUUCGGUUGAAGCCGCGAAGGCUGUGAUUACAGUAAUGUCAAAGACGGGAAAUACGAAUGGGAAGUAUCUUGAAAAAUUAUCUAGAAAUUCGAAACAAGAUGUAACAAGGCAUAUUAGAAAUAUAAUUAAUGCAAUUGAAUGUGUGGGAUGUGAUACAACACAAAUACCUAGAAAUGAAAAAUGUUAUGGCGGAAAUCUAGAAACUUUAGUAAUUUGCUUGCACGGCGAAGAAUGUUAUACUGAAAUACACCCGGACUACAUUAAGAGGGGCUGUAUGUCCCGAAGCAGGUUAAACAGGACAUUUAUAUGCAAAUGUCCGCUCUGCAAUGACAAACCGUUUGAUGACGUCGCUUCCUACGAAUACAAGACAAUAAGAGAUUGGGAAUACGAUAACAGACGCCUCCAAACUGCAGUUAUUGGGAUAGACCUCUUGUGUAAAGUGUGUGACACUAAGGGAAUGAAUCAUGAGGCCGAUGAACGCUGUAAGAAAGGAAAAGAUGCAAAUUACAUGAUGUGCGCAAAAAACCAAGUGUGCUUCACAAAUAUUGAUUUGGACACUGAUUUUGUUUCUAGAGGUUGCGUUGAUGUACCAGUCUUUAAUUCCAUGUAUAGUUUUUGUAAUAAUACUAAUUGUAAUAAUGUAUCAUACAAAAAUUAUAACCUUGUAAAUCGUAGGAGUGAAAAUGAAAGGGCGCGGGAAUUUUAUAUCAGCUUUCCUAAGACUUUAGUAUCGCGAGCAUGCUCAUUUCAAUAUAUCAAUAUUAU